rnacentral:rRNA from 1 species
UGAUUGAGUUUGAUCCUGGUUCAGGAUGAACGCUAGCGGCAGGCUUAAUACAUGCAAGUCGUGGGGCAGCGCAGGUAGCAAUACUAGGGCGGCGACCGGCAAACGGGUGCGGAACACGUACACAACCUUCCGAGAAGUGGGGAAUAGCCCAGAGAAAUUUGGAUUAAUACCCCGUAACAUAACGAUGUGGCAUCACAUUGUUAUUAUAGCUUCGGCGCUUCUUGAUGGGUGUGCGGCUGAUUAGAUAGUUGGCGGGGUAACGGCCCACCAAGUCUACGAUCAGUAGCUGAUGUGAGAGCAUGAUCAGCCACACGGGCACUGAGACACGGGCCCGACUCCUACGGGAGGCAGCAGUAAGGAAUAUUGGUCAAUGGACGCAAGUCUGAACCAGCCAUGCCGCGUGAAGGAUUAAGGUCCUCUGGAUUGUAAACUUCUUUUAUCUGGGACGAAAAAAGGCGAUUCUUCGUCACUUGACGGUACCAGAUGAAUAAGCACCGGCUAACUCCGUGCCAGCAGCCGCGGUAAUACGGAGGGUGCAAGCGUUAUCCGGAUUCACUGGGUUUAAAGGGUGCGUAGGCGGGCAGGUAAGUCAGUGGUGAAAUCCUAGAGCUUAA